CCCCAGGACCUCAAGAUGGAGGAUCUCCAUGGAGAAAGUUCAGUGUUGCUUUGGGGGAUUUCUGGAUCUGAAAGUUACAGGAAGAAGGAGAAACGUACUCAGAAACAAAGGCAGCGUGAUGAUUUUCCAAGGCUUGGGCCUGGCCUAGAUCCAGAACACAUUGGUACAAGGUCGCAGGAAACCACAACCUCCAUCCGCUGUACAAACUAACAGCCUGCUUACGCUGCUUCACUGGGCUCAAUCUUGCUGUCCAGAUCUACAAAGGAAGGAAUGGUAAAAAUGACACUAAUUCAGUAAUGACAAAGGGAUUUACAAACUUGGAAAGGUAAAGCCAACUGAAUACAAUUCUGUAUCUAUUCUAAAGGAGUCCCCCAUCAAAAGAUAAUUCUUUUUGUAGAAACGAAGGGCAACUGCCAAUCAAGCAAACUUAUCAUAGAUUCUUUGGAGCCAAUGAAGAAAGUCAAUCUUGUCAUACAUGGGGUCUAAAUUUUUGUCGAGAGAAGGUGAGGCAGAGGUUUUCUGGACUACACAAGGAAGUCUCAUGACUCUGGAUUUUUCUGUGGUACUUAUAGCAACAAUUGUGUUUGCCAGCAAUUACUACACCGAAACCGACAGAAACAUCACGAGUCCCAAAGUCUGCCAAAUAACAUGGAAAUCCAUGAGCCACUCUCAGUUGGUCUAUGCCUACCUCCUCAGUACAGUGCACGGCAGAGACUUUUUCCGGAUGCAGUCAUGUUGCAAAGUUCUACUUAUAUGCCAUUUGACUCUGUGUUUAAAAACUGUGUUUGAAAUCCUUGAAAUGUC